UAGGGUUGUUUUUGUUGGAUGAGGAACUGGUACACUUCAUAAAAUAGAUGGCAUCAUGAGAAAGCAACACUAAGUGGAAAUAUCGAAGCAACAUCUAAAGACAUCAGCCAAGUGGUUAAA